CAGUCCCUGGUGCCAAAAAGGUUGGGGACUGCUGAAGAGCACCGGAAACCAGGAGGAGGCACAGGGUUCUCCCCUGAGAGCCAGGCCAGCUCUUGGUGUUUCUUCGCUGCAGGUGCCAUUUGGCAUUGAGGAUUGUUUUUCUCUUCCUCUGGGAAAGUAAGAGGGAGAGGACACAGUCUGAGUGGU
rnacentral:snoRNA from 2 species